rnacentral:misc_RNA from 1 species
GAUGAAGAACGCAGCGAACUGCGAUAAGUAAUGUGAAUUGCAGAAUUCAGUGAAUCAUCGAGUCUUUGAACGCACAUUGCGCCCCCUGGCAUUCCGGGGGGCAUGCCUGUCCGAGCGUCAUUGCUGCCCUUCAAGCCCGGCUUGUGUGUUGGGUCGUCGUCCCCCCCGGGGGACGGGCCCGAAAGGCAGCGGCGGCACCGCGUCCGGUCCUCGAGCGUAUGGGGCUUUGUCACCCGCUCGAUUAGGGCCGGCCGGGCGCCAGCCGGCGUCUCCAACAUUCUAUUUUACCAGGUUGACCUCGGAUCAGGUAGGGAUACCCGCUGAACUUAAGCAUAUCAAUAAGCGGAGGA